AGGAUCAUUCAUAAUAAGUGUUCUACUGCACUUUUUAAACAAGUACUCACCUUGUGUGCAAUGUUUGCUGGCGUGUCGUUCAUUCGUCGCGUCGGCAUAAUACCAACCUUUUAUUUUUUAAUCUUUUGUCUUAAGCUAUUUUGAAUAACAUAAUUCUUAAUACAACUUUCAACAACGGAUCUCUUGGCUCUCGCAUCGAUGAAGAACGCAGCGAAAUGCGAUACGUAAUGUGAAUUGCAGAAUUCAGUGAAUCAUCGAAUCUUUGAACGCACAUUGCACUCUCUGGUAUUCCGGAGAGUAUGCUUGUUUGAGUAUCUGUAAACAUCUCAACCCUCAAGGCGCUUGCGUCGGGAGGAUUGGACUUGAGCGAUCCCGACUCUUUCGUGAGGAAGAGGAGGGUCGCUUGAAAUGCAGGUGCAGCAGGACAUUCUUCUGAGCUAAAAGCAUAUCUAUUUAGUCCCGUCAAACGGAUUAUUACUUUUGCUUCAGCUAACAUAAAGGUCGAAUGCGCCACAAUCGCUGAUUGCAGGAAAACUCGUUCGUAAGAACUUGUGAACUCGAUCUCAAAUCAAGUAAGACUACCCGCUGAACUUAAGCAUAUCAAUAAGCGGAGGAAAAGAAACUAACAAGGAUUCCCCUAGUAACGGCGAGUGAAGCGGGAUGAGCUCAAAUUUAAAAUCUGGCUGGUUUACUAGUCCGAGUUGUAGUUUAAAGAAGCGUUUUCGGUGGCAGUCUCGGUAAAAGUCCUUUGGAAUAGG
rnacentral:rRNA from 1 species